rfam:Bacillus thermoamylovorans genome assembly, strain 1A1, contig: A1A_CC67
GUGAAAAAGAAGAGGCACCCGCUUCUCACCUGGAGGACGCUUAAGCUGUUAACAGGUUUUGACUGGCAAACGAUGAUGUGAAUGAACACGGAAAUCUAAUGUGCGGGUGUAUGUACCCGCACUUUUUUAUAUUU